rnacentral:lncRNA from 1 species
GGCCUCAGGCUCCUUCCUACUGUCCGAGGGCCACCAGGCCGCCGGGGGCCUGCUGCGCCCGGAUGCGUCUGUUACUAGAGUGGAGAGUCUACCUUCGUCUCACAUGUGCCACAAAGGAUGGCAUGGCCCGGGAGUGCCCCACCACGUGGCUUUCACCCCCUGCAAAGCCAGACUUCGCCCAGCGACACAGUGUCAAGCCCACAGCUCUCCAAGGAGGAAGAUGGUCCAGGCUGGGAGCAUCCCCUUAGCAGCAGCCUCUGAGAUGGGGUUCCGCCAUGUUGCCCAGGCUGGUCUCUAACUCAUGAGCUCAGUCCAUCCGCCUACCUCAGCCUCUCAAAGUGCGGGGAUUACAUGCAUGAGUCAUUGCAUCUGAUCAGGAGGCCUUAUCUUCUGAGUGGACUGGGGUGGUGGCCCAUGAACAGGAUGGGGAUCACGCAAUCCCCUGCAACCCUCUUCGGCUUCGUGACACAAAUGCAAGUUACCUC